rnacentral:rRNA from 1 species
UGUAAGCGUAUACCAAAGUUGUUGCAGUUAAAACGCUCGUAGUCGGAAUUUGGCAGUUCCGGAAGUGUGCACGUCGUGUGCGCACUUUGCGGGGACUGCUUUUGUGGUCUUGCGUAGGAUGAGGCACUUUCAUUAGUGAACGUCCUCACGCAACCACUCUUUACUGUGAGAAAAUCAGAGUGCUCAAGGCAGGCAUUUGCCGUGAAUGUAUUAGCAUGGAAUAAUAGAAUAGGACUCGGUUCUAUUUUGUUGGUUUGUUGGGACUGAGUAAUGAUUAAGAGGGACAGUUGGGGGCAUUUGUAUUCCGGCGCUAGAGGUGAAAUUCUUAGAUUGCCGGAAGACAAACUGCUGCGAAAGCGUCUGCCAAGGAUGUUUUCAUUGA